UACUGGAAACCGGAGCUAAUACCGGAUAAUAUAUUGAACCGCAUGGUUCAAUAGUGAAAGACGGUUUUGCUGUCACUUAUAGAUGGAUCCGCGCUGCAUUAGCUAGUUGGUAAGGUAACGGCUUACCAAGGCAACGAUGCGUAGCCGACCUGAGAGGGUGAUCGGCCACACUGGAACUGAGACACGGUCCAGACUCCUACGGGAGGCAGCAGAG
rnacentral:rRNA from 1 species